AACACUUCUGCGUGUACAUAGUAAACCCCCAUCCACAUUCAACCCGGCUGAGUUUCCUGGGGCCUGAACCGGGAUGUCUGCCGCUGUAUUCAGCUUCUUACUAGAAGAAAAUACUAAUGUCAGAUGCCAGGAAGUCAGAAGGGGAGCCCAGAAGUCUGGCUUAAUCCAUCUUUCGGAGGCUUCCGAACACAUCACUUCAUGGAUUAUGCAAAGAGUACCUUUUCAAAGCAUACAGUUUUUCAGAAAUUUUGGUUCUUAAUGGAAGAAGAAUCAGUCAUUGAGAUUAUUCUUGGUAGGUUCUCUAGAUUUCAGUUGUCUUGAUUUAGAAUAUCCCAAGCACAGACGCCUCCAGUUUUGUAGAGUCCUACCCUUUUUGUUGUAGUCUGUAAAGUUGGUCUAAGAUUUCCAAGAAGGUUAAAUAUUUUUCUAUCAUGAUUGCAGUGGUAGGAUGCCAUAUCACCAAUGUAGACCUCCUGCACUCAGGCUCAGGUGAGUAAGCAAAACAUAUCAUGGGCCUGGAGGAUUCCAUUGUCACAAUGUUUGUCACCCCCUUCCAGAAUGCAAAACUGGUUAUUGCACGUAUGUGGUUACCUAUAAUACCUCCCCUACAAUUUUAUUUGACCUGCGCAGCUUAACAUCUCAAAAGAGAAAC
rnacentral:lncRNA from 1 species